GCCGCGUUAGCCCAACUAGCAGAGGCGUCCCGCUCAGAACGGGAAGGUUGAGGGUGCGAAUCCUUCACGCGGUACCA
rnacentral:tRNA from 1 species